GGGGUAGAAGCAGUUGUGGUUGUAACAGUCGAAAACAAUGGCGCUGAUGAUGUUCCAAAAGACAAGGAAGCGGGUUUUGACACGGCAGAGCCAGACAAUGUGGGUGCAGGUGUUGAUGCUGAAGUUGCAUUGCCAAAUCCAUAUGCUGGUUGAGAGGCUGAAGGCGAGGCAAAUGAGAAGCUUGAAGAGCUUGACGAAGAAGAAGCUGCUAAAGAAGGUGCUGUAGUAGAGGUGGAUGCUGGUGUUGAACUAGCAGUGCUCUUCAAAAAUGGUGAACUACCCCCAAAAGAGAAUCCCGUAGAAGAAGCUGAGCUCGAUGAUGAUAAGCUUGGAAAAGAUGGAGUAGUAGCUGUAGCAGUAGAAGGUGAAGAUAAAGAACCAAAAGAGCUCAUAGCAGCAGUAGUGGUAGUAGUGGUAGCCGGUGCUUGUGAAGAUGAAAAUAGAGGGGAACCACUACUGGCUCCAAAUGGGGAUGAAGAUGUCCCAAAUGUCCCUGAUAAUUAAAAAUUAACGAAAAAAAAAGGAGAAAAAUGAAAAUCUUGGUUAGCUUUACCAGAUCAGAGAACAAAAGCAGAUGAGACAACAACGAAGCAGGUUUUGACAGGGCAGAACCAGGGACUGUGGAUGCUGAUGAUGACGACGAAGAUGAAGCUGCAUUGCCAAUACCAAAUGUAGGUUGAGAGGCUGAAGAAGGGAGGGAAAAAGAGAAGCCUGAAGAACUUGAAGAAGAAGAAGAAGCAGCUGUUAACGAAGGUGCUGUAGUAAAGGUUGCUGUUGUAGUCGAACUUUCAGUGCUCUUUCCAAAAGAUGAACCACCCAGG
rnacentral:lncRNA from 1 species